rnacentral:rRNA from 1 species
GACGAACGCUGGCGGCGUGCUUAACACAUGCAAGUCGAACGGUAAGGCCCUUCGGGUACGACGAGUGGCGAACGGGUGAGUAACACGUGGGUGAUCUGCCCUGCACUUCGGGAUAAGCCUGGGAAACUGGGUCUAAUACCGGAUAGGACUCCUGGCUUCAUGGUUGGGGGUGUAAAGCUUUUGCGGUGUGGGAUGGGCCCGCGGCCUAUCAGCUUGUUGGUGGGGUAAUGGCCUACCAAGGCGACGACGGGUAGCCGGCCUGAGAGGGUGACCGGCCACACUGGGACUGAGAUACGGCCCAGACUCCUACGGGAGGCAGCAGUGGGGAAUAUUGCACAAUGGGCGCAAGCCUGAUGCAGCGACGCCGCGUGAGGGAUGACGGCCUCGGUU